GAUCAUUACCGAGUUAUUCAACUCAUCAACCCUGUGAACUUACCUAAACGUUGCUUCGGCGGGAAUAGACGGCCCUGUAAAACGGGCCGCCCCCGCCAGAGGACUCUUAACUCUGUUUCUUAUAAUGUUUCUUCUGAGUAAAACAAGCAAAUAAAUUAAAACUUUCAACAACGGAUCUCUUGGCUCUGGCAUCGAUGAAGAACGCAGCGAAAUGCGAUAAGUAAUGUGAAUUGCAGAAUUCAGUGAAUCAUCGAAUCUUUGAACGCACAUUGCGCCCGCCAGUAUUCUGGCGGGCAUGCCUGUUCGAGCGUCAUUACAACCCUCAGGCCCCCGGGCCUGGCGUUGGGGAUCGGCGGAGCGCCCCUCGUGGGCGCACGCCGUCCCCCAAAUACAGUGGCGGUCCCGCCGCAGCUUCCAUCGCGUAGUAGCUAACACCUCGCGACUGGAGAGCGGCGCGGCCACGCCGUAAAACACCCCAACUCUUCUGAAGUUGACCUCGAAUCAGGUAGGAAUACCCGCUGAACCUAAGCAUAUCA
rnacentral:misc_RNA from 1 species